rnacentral:rRNA from 3 species
GACUCUCGGCAAUGGAUAUCUUGGCUCUU